rnacentral:rRNA from 1 species
UACGGGGGGGGCAAGCGUUGUUCGGAAUUACUGGGCGUAAAGGCUCGUAGGUGGCCAACUAAGUCAGACGUGAAAUCCCUCGGCUUAACCGGGGAACUGCGUCUGAUACUGGAUGGCGUUGAGUGUGGGAGAGGGAUGCGGAAUUCCAGGUGUAGCGGUGAAAUGCGUAGAUAUCUGGAGGAACAUCGGUGGCGAAGGCGGCAUCCUGGACCAUUACUGACACUGAAUAGCGAAAGCCAGGGGAGCAAACGGG